rnacentral:rRNA from 1 species
CCUACGGGUGGCAGCAGUGGGGAAUUUUGGACAAUGGACGCAAGUCUGAUCCAGCCAUGCCGCGUGCGGGAAGAAGUCCUUCGGGUUGUAAACCGCUUUUGUCAGGGAAGAAACGCUCUGGGUUAAUACCUCGGGGUAAUGACGGUACCUGAAGAAUAAGCACCGGCUAACUACGUGCCAGCAGCCGCGGUAAUACGUAGGGUGCAAGCGUUAAUCGGAAUUACUGGGCGUAAAGCGUGCGCAGGCGGUUAUGCAAGACAGAGGUGAAAUCCCCGGGCUCAACCUGGGAACUGCCUUUGUGACUGCAUAGCUAGAGUACGGUAGAGGGGGAUGGAAUUCCGCGUGUAGCAGUGAAAUGCGUAGAUAUGCGGAGGAACACCGAUGGCGAAGGCAAUCCCCUGGACCUGUACUGACGCUCAUGCACGAAAGCGUGGGGAGCAAACAGGAUUAGAUACCCCAGUAGUC